rnacentral:lncRNA from 1 species
UAACAUGUUCCUCCGGCACAACAUGAUUUUCCUGCUUUAAUUGUCUCAUCCUGAUCGAAGCAUCCUGCGUCACUCAAAACGCAGAUUAAAUCAUAAACAUAUAUCAAGUAGUUUCAUCAUCAAAAUACGAGAUUCAACAAUCUCCCCCUUUUUGAUGAUGACAACCACUUGAUGACGGAGUUAAACUUAACUCCCGGAGUUUAAACAAACUCCCCCUAUCAAUAUGCCAUAUUGAUAGAAACUCUUAGAUUCAAAAAUCUAAGCAACAUGUCAUCAUAAACAUAGUUAACCUUAACUCUCAGAGUUUAAACAAACUCCCCCUAUCAAUAUGCCAUAUUGAUAGAACCUUGAAUUCAAGCUGAAUUCAAGUCAUUGCAAUAUUCAUCAUGAAUACUUGCAACACG